UUGGAGGGCAAGUCUGGUGCCAGCAGCCGCGGUAAUUCCAGCUCCAAUAGCGUAUAUUAAAGUUGUUGCAGUUAAAAAGCUCGUAGUUGAAUUUCGGGAUUGACACAUCGGUCGUGCCUUAAGGGGUAUGAACUGGUGUAGUCAAUUUCUCACCUUCUGGAGAGCCGCGAUGCCCUUAAUUGGGUGUCACGGGGAACCAGGACCUUUACUUUGAAAAAAUUAGAGUGUUUAAAGCAGGCAUUUUGCUUGGAUACAUUAGCAUGGAAUAAUAAAAUAGGACGGCAUGAUUCUAUUUUGUUGGUUUCUAAGAUCACCGUAAUGAUUAAUAGGGAUAGUUGGGGGCAUUAGUAUUCAAUUGUCAGAGGUGAAAUUCUUGGAUUUAUUGAAGACUAACUACUGCGAAAGCAUUUGCCAAGGAUGUUUUCAUUAAUCAAGAACGAAAGUUAGGGGAUCGAAGACGAUCAGAUACCGUCGUAGUCUUAACCAUAAACUAUGCCGACUAGGAAUCAGACGAUGUUAAUUUUUUAAUGACUCGUUUGCGCGCCUUACGGGAAAC
rnacentral:rRNA from 1 species